UACGUAGGGGGCAAGCGUUAUCCGGAAUUACUGGGUGUAAAGGGAGCGUAGACGGUAAUGUAAGUCUGGAGUGAAAGGCGGGGGCCCAACCCCCGGACUGCUCUGGAAACUAUGUUACUAGAGUGCAGGAGAGGUAAGCGGAAUUCCUGGUGUAGCGGUGAAAUGCGUAGAUAUUAGGAGGAACACCAGUGGCGAAGGCGGCUUACUGGACUGUAACUGACGUUGAGGCUCGAAAGCGUGGGGAGCAAACAGG
rnacentral:rRNA from 1 species